rnacentral:rRNA from 3 species
UGCGGUGAUUUGAGCGGUGUGGAACCACCCUUUCCCAUUCCGAACAGGGAAGUGAAACAUGCCAGCGCAGACGAUACUAGGGUCGAAAGGCCCCGGGACAAUAUGUCAUUGCCGUAC